rnacentral:rRNA from 1 species
UACGUAGGGGGCAAGCGUUGUCCGGAUUUAUUGGGCGUAAAGAGCGUGUAGGCGGUCAGGUAGGUCCGUUGUGAAAACUCGAGGCUCAACCUCGAGACGCCGAUGGAAACCAUCUGACUAGAGUCCGGAAGAGGAGAGUGGAAUUCCUGGUGUAGCGGUGAAAUGCGCAGACUAUCAGGAAGAACACCCGUGGCUAAGGCGGCUCUCUAGUACGGUACUGACGCUGAGACGCGAAAGCGUGGGGAGCGAACAGG